AUUGAACGCUGGCGGAAUGCUUUACACAUGCAAGUCGAACGGUAGAGGGGGCAACCCCUCGAGAGUGGCGAACGGGUGAGUAAUAUAUCGGAACGUGCCCAGUCGUGGGGGAUAACGUAGCGAAAGUUACGCUAAUACCGCAUACGAUCUAAGGAUGAGAGCGGGGGAUCGCAAGACCUCGCGCGAUUGGAGCGGCCGAUAUCAGAUUAGGUAGUUGGUGGGGUAAAGGCUCACCAAGCCAACGAUCUGUAGCUGGUCUGAGAGGACGACCAGCCACACUGGAACUGAGACACGGUCCAGACUCCUACGGGAGGCAGCAGUGGGGAAUUUUGGACAAUGGACGCAAGUCUGAUCCAGCCAUUCCGCGUGCAGGAUGAAGGCACUCGGGUUGUAAACUGCUUUUGUACGGAACGAAAAGGUCUCUCUUAAUACGGGGGACUCAUGACGGUACCGUAAGAAUAAGCACCGGCUAACUACGUGCCAGCAGCCGCAGUAAGAC
rnacentral:rRNA from 1 species